rnacentral:rRNA from 1 species
UACGUAGGUGGCAAGCGUUGUCCGGAAUUAUUGGGCGUAAAGCGCGCGCAGGCGGUCCUUUAGGUCUGAUGUGAAAGCCCACGGCUCAACCGUGGAGGGUCUUGGAAACUGGGGGACUUGAGUGCAGAAGAGGAGAGUGGAAUUCCCAGUGUAGAGGUGAAAUUCGUAGAUAUUGGGGAAGAACACCGGUGGCGAAGGCGGCUCUCUGGACCGACACUGACGCUGAGGCGCGAAAGCGUGGGGAGCAAACAGGG